CGACAAUUCGAAAGUAGAAUAACACAAAUAGGAUUUGAAUUGAAUAUAAUUCUUAUUGAAAUGUCAACAGAGACAAAGUCUGUAUCCAAAUGUCUUUGUUUAUAGAAUUCUGAGCUGAUCUUUUACGCAGCAUAGUAGCAAAAAAAAAAAACCCAACAUUCGAAAAAAAUACUCUCAAUGGAACGCAUCGUCCAGAUUUUAGUUCUUGCUGCUUGGGCGCUGACUGCGUCUGUUUGCAACGUUGCAGCAGAUUGCGUAACAGAUCCUGAGUCGAUGCUGUGCGUCUUGGACCCAAAUCGAGGCUAAGAACAAAUAUGUUGCAAUACUUACUUAUGCCUGAAGUGUUUAUGAAUAAAUAAUACAACAAUGUA